CUUUGCCAGCAUCCCAACCUGUAGUGCAUUCACUAUAGUGGGGAUCGCGGCUUCAACCUGCCUACUUAGAAUCACAGAAUCAUAGAAUUACUCAGGUUGGAAAAGACCUUAAAGAUCAUCAAGUCCAAGCGCAACCUGACCGUACUACCCCAACUCUUGAAACGGCCUAAACGGACAUUAAUAAGACUGUAAACAGCGAAGAGCAAGGCCUCUCCCUUUAGCAAGAGGAGGAUGUUACAUGGACCCAGCCACAUGCUGCAUUGUACCACUGCAUAACAAGGGAUAUGGUGACAUGCGAAUCUUCACAGGACUCUUGUUUUUCGACUAUCUGCUGGACAACUAAGGAGAUCACCAGGCUGUUAGGAUGAAUGCCAGAUGGGAGGCAGGUCUUGGCAUAAGGGAGCACACAGAAUUUUGGCAACAAGCUGAGAGUGGAAUAGGCUGCACAACCUAGACAUGCCCAAGCCUUCUUGACACGGGAACAGCUUCUCUUCCCUAUGCCAGUGGUUCGCUCAGUGCCAGCUCCAACGCACACCCCCCUUCCAGGAAUGGCUCUCAUCCAUGCUGGCAAACAAAAUGAUAGAGAAGAAAAUAUGAAAUUACUCUUCAAAAUGUAAGUGGAAGGAUGAGCACGGCGCCAAGUGAGAAGUAUCCAAAUGUGAGAUCCCACACUGCUACAUGUCAGUUGGAAAUAUGACACAUAUACAGAAAGUCAAGCAAACAGGUUCGUCCACAAAGGGAAGAUAAAGGAGAUCAUUUGCAUUUUGGAUAAUAAAAUAUUUAAAGCAGCACUGUAGAAAUUAUAAAUAAAAACACUAACUGCAGUCACCAAGAACCCAAGCACCCCAUGUGGAACCUGGCCAGCAAACCCCUUCAUUAAGUACAAUAUGAUCAGAAGGAAAUACAAAAGUGCCUACAGACCUCUGAAGGCCAGCAGGUAAUGCAAGCCAAUUGGUUAUUCAGUUCUAAUUAAGGGAUACUUAUUUUGGACAACUAACAGAAGAAUAAAGCAUGAGUUCGGGGUGAAGUAAAGUCUACUUUAUUUAACAAUCUGUGACUGAUUACAAGGGAGCAGCAAGUUCCAGAUGGGUGGGAGUGCUUACAGAAACCUCUACUUUCCUACAACUUACAAUCAAUGCUUUUAGUUUCCAUGCAUUGUAACACUGCCACUUAACACUAAAGUAUAGCAGAACGAAAAUUUGAAACCAACUUUGCACCAAAAUUCGGGGGAUAAACAGGCCGUGCUUUUCCACUCAAUAAAGGUUGGAGUUCAAGCUUCUAAUUUUAGCAUCACUCAAGACGAGGCUUGACUUAGAUUGCUCCUUGGUCCAGCCCUUAGCUCUGACCUAACUCUAACAAACUGAUUAAUUCUGUUGAGUAGAAUUUGCAAGCUUUUGGGGGCAGGGAUCAUGCCUGCUUCCGUGCUGUAGAAAAAUAAUCAUGCGGGUAAUAUUUUAAAAUACUAUUCACUCUAGCUAUUACUUAUUUGAAACUAUUUGUUUUUAAGAGCUACUGUCAUUUUGAAAUGAACAAUCAUUUCGCUUUUUAAAUUCAUCUUAUUCAUGUCCUUGUAUUUAUUACUGUAGUUGUGCAAAUCACAUGGAAGCAUGGAAAUCCCAACAGCUUGUGAAAAAGCAGACUCUUUUCUGUUAUAAUUGCAAUUUCAAGAAAUUGUUCAUUUUUAUGUUCAGAAAAGGCGCUGUAUGUUAACAUUGUGAUUCCCGUUAUGUGCCUUUGCCUACCCCAUACCUAAUCCCCACAGUCUUGGCACAGCAGUGGAAAAGCAGCAGGACCACGAGUAAUGAUAAAAGCCUGGAACUCAGCAGCCUUAAUUGAUUCAUAUUCUGUGGAAAGAAAAAGAAAAGGCCUACGUUUGUCUCCUUGCAGAGCUCCGAAGCAAGCCUUGCUAGACAGUGUAUGUGCAUUGGCUCACCACUCCUUCACAGCUCAACACAGUUAGGUAAGAAAAACACCGCACAACUUUCAUCCAUGAGGACUUACCUAGCAACCUGAUGUAAAAGAGUUAACAACUGAUGUUUCCAUUAAAUCCGAACUACCUCUCAGUUUUGCAGUAGUCUGAAAUAAUCCUUGUUUUGUACCCAUUUACAUGGAUAAAUGGAGGCAUCUGAUAACAAGUAACACACAAACCUCACUCUGAAAAAAGGUCAAUUCAUUUUAAAUGGAUGUACACGGUAUUAUUUCGAGUUACUGUUAAAACAAACAAGACAAGCUAAAGCCUUCCCACGCACUGUGCUACUACUUACCAAGAAUUAAAAGCUCUGCAUUCAGAACCUAAUGGACACAGAUACACCUAUAGGCAUCCGUGUGUACUCUGAACAGAAAUCAAUAUUAUCACAUCACAGCAGCCAGCCAGGAUGAUAUGCAGCCUCCCUGAACUCUGCAACCCCAAAAGGCAGUCACCUCAGUGCUAAACUUUCAAGGACCAACUGUAGGUUCCUUAGCUGGGAAUUCAUUGUCUGAUAAGAACAACAACAACAAUUAGAAGUCCUCGAAACCUUCUUGAGAAAGCUUCUCUUUUCUCUAUGCUUAUUAACCUCAACUCUGCAUUUGUUUUUGACAAAGUAAGACUGAGGACGGAUAUCUCCAAGGAUUGAUUAUAGGAUGAGUAUGACGUUGGCCAGCUUUGUGAACGCAGUGAAGGUCAAAACAGACCAAACAGUGGGGUAGGAGCUGCUAAUGGUAACACAAAACCACAGGUACUGAACUAACACAACAAAAAACACCUUUUUACAAAUAAAACCAGUUGGCCCUCACUCCAAAAGUCUCAGCUCAGUGACUAGGGAUAGGACUUACUGCUAGGAGAUGUCCCACCAGCUCAUGUUUGUGGCACCACUAGUUAGGCAGAAUGGCUGUUCAUUGGAAGGGUUAAUGACAAGAUCCUAAUGCUGAGCAGUGCAUCAGUUAAUAUUCCAGCAUACAUUUCCUAAGUGUGUUUUAGGAGAGUUUAAUACUAGCAUCAAUAUCAGAAAUAUUUUCUAUAGAUUUAAAAUUAUAGUUGCUCAAGAGCUGCCAUACUCUCCAUCUUUCUUAGGUAGGGAUGCUCAGGAACUUUCUGUUAGGUUUUUUUGGAUGAAAAAACAGUCUUCGUUAAAUCCAACAGUUCGACACAAUAAAUUGGAUUGUUUCAAAAUCUCGUAAUGAAAUUAAAUAUUUUGAGGCAAAAUCAGCUCAGUUUGAAACCUUUCAGUAUAUUUCAGAUACAUACACAUGGCUAUACCUGAUGGCAUUUUUCCUAACCCAUUUUUGCAAGCAAAUGAAGAAACUAUGGAGCAGUUAGUGUAGAACUAAAGGAGUGCAGGGAAAGUAUGAGUUAAAUAUAUAUAAAAAUAAAUAAAUAAAUAUAUAGUUUUACAGAAAUUAAAAACUGAGAACUGUACAUCUCAGUUUAUCCUCAAUUAACAGAAAAUCUGCAAUAAAAGGUCAAACUUUUUGUAAGCAUUCGGACAAGGAGGUAAAUAGUACACACAUCAGUAUUGAUGCGUCAAUAAAAUAUCAUGUUAAAUGAUUUCUGAUUCUUUCUGUUGCUUAUAGUUCUGUGCCCAGCAUGGAGGUAGUAGCUGCCAGACCCGGAUUUUAGUUCAGUUUUUGCAACUGUCUGACAUUACCUCCAGAGAAGUAAACCACCACACAAUCUUUAAGAAACGUGGUCUUUCUGGAACUAUCGUAGGGGUAGACAGAAAAACCACAUGUUAUUAUAGAUAAUACAUUAUUAAUUGUUCUGUUGAGUUGUUCUUUUCUCUCUUGGUGUAUUAAUAGCAGAUAAAACAUGUAAUCAACUUGAUCUUGCCUGGUUAAACAAAUCAAGCCUUUUAUCCUUUUUCAUUACACAGACUCACUCUCAGUUCCACAGAUUAUUUUUAUAGCCACUUUUCAACUGCUUCCAGUCUAAAUUAAUCCUUUUAAUACACAAGCAAACAGAGAUGUACACAAUAUUCUAGAUACUUUGUACAGUGACUUUCUUCCCUCUUUUGCUGGAAAUACCAAACCUGAUACAUUUCUACACAUGUAUUGUCUUUUUCACAUUGCCACAACUGAUGUUCCAAAGGAAUGCCAGGACAUGUCCAGGUUUUUCCCCUCAGUCUUUUGAACCGAGGAAAUUAACAGAUGUAGCAAACAUUCUGGUUGUUAGCUCUUAACUAAGUGACCUUCGUGCUUAGGCUGUGAAGUUUUAUCUGUUAAUCCUCUGAUCCUCAAAGUUGUUUAAUUGCUUAUUGUGGCAUUGGGAUCCUGCCCUAUAACGACACAGCCUCUCAAAUUCGUAUGGCUGGUUUCUGCUUAAAAAGAAGCUAUAUGAACAAUUAAAGUUUAUUCUCUAUUGGUUCUCUUUUUCCCCUUUAUUUAGGUUUACACAGAAUGACGACAAAUCACAGAUUAAAAAAAAAAUGAACAGAAACAGAAACCAACAGCAUGAAGUUUUGAGUUAUUAAUUCCAUAACUGUCACAACCCAACCCUCUCAUUGCUGAAAGACUGGUGGGUUGUUUAUGCCUUUUAACCCCCGUGAUAGGUUUAUAUUGAUUGAACACGUUCAAAGCUGACACUGUAAGGUGAAAAAACAAACAAACAAACAAAAAAACUGAAAACUGCAGUUCCCAAUCAGGCAAUUGGCUUUGCCAAAGGUCAGCUCUGUACGAGAGAUCACGGUUUUAAAACAUACAUUAUUUUAUCUCUAAAUAACAUGAAAGAUACUAUUCAUCAACAACUUUGCCAGUGCAUAAUGCUGUAAAACAUACUCUUUUCAACACAGUGGUUUUCUCAAAUGCAUAUUGGAACUGAGAGAGUGGUUCUAGGUUUGAUGAUAAAAGGACAAUCUGAAAUUGUAUUGCCUGUUGCAAGUAGAUCAGGCUAGACAACAUGAUGGCUCCUUCUGGUUCUGCAGGUAUCUCUAGAGAUCCUUGUAUCCAAAUGAUGAACAAGGGCCAAUGCAAUAUCCAACAGAGAUUAAACAAACAGCAUUUGAAACAUAAUGCCAUUAAUAAAAAUGUUCUGGAUGUUGGGCUACUUUAAAAAUGCUUUAGGUUUUCUUUUUUGGGGGGGGGGAGGAGAGCACAUUUCAAUAAAAUAAUAAAUGCGUGUGAAGGGAAAGGAUAGGGAAGGUCAGGGCUGACUUGCAUAUUAUAGAUGCUCUUUUUUUUACAGUCUUGUGAUUUGAGCUCUUCCACGGUUUUCAGAAGCAAGCAUUUCAGAUCCAGCAGCCGCACAGGCCCAGUAACUAGUUCUCAUCACAAGUUUCCUAAGGAGUCUCAGCAGACAGAUGGAAACGAUACACAUGCGCAACAGGCAGUGCAGCACAAUAGGGCCACUGUAUAGGGAAUGUGGGAAAUACAGCAUCCCUCCAUCCCUGAGCAGGCUUUAAUGCACUGGAUUGUAACAGCUCCAAAGAAGUGCUUGUGGUCUACUGAGUCAAUCAUCUGUACAUUAAAAAGCCAUAGCUGGCACUGCUAUCUCUUUGGCACAACACUUGAAAAGUAUCAGUUAAAAAGGAAAAAUAAAAGGGAGCAAACCAAAGCCACAGAGAACUCGGAGCCAUUUAGUUACUUGUGACCAGCAAAGCACACGAACACAUGCUUAGGUUGACUCCAGCUAAGCGAAGAAAGGGCUUGCAUCUUUUGCUGAGUCAGGAUCUUAGCACUGAGCAUUUCCUAAAAGUGCUCUGCUGUUGAACACGCUAGGUACAUUCUUAGUUUAAAAUUGAUACCAUGCCAUCCAUCCCACUAUUGGCAGUAAUAGAGCAGCAGCAUCCCCACAUACUAAGAUGCAGUUUCAUAUAUUCCAACGACAUACAUAUUUUUUUAGAGAGAAUCCCUCUUGUGGGUUGGGUGACGAUGGAGCAGAGCUGCUGAGCAGACCCUGUUGCUUUUUAUGACGGUGCCGCUUUCACAGCAAGGUCCUGAGAAAUCCCUCAUCCUGCAGAGACCGAGGAGGAGUUGGGAAACAGCCUGCAAAACCUGGGUGAAAAUGCUGCACAGAAUGAGGGGCAAGCACAUGCAGAAGCAACCCUUCUCUGUCAUGUUCAGGAACCCCUAGAAAACAUUUGCAUUGGUUAUUUUUGAGGAUGAGCAAUGACUGCUCAGCUUGGUAGGGAGAUUUUUUCCUGCUCACAUAUGUUGCUGUGGGGCUGCAUGAAGGAAGUGGGGAGCUAACUAACCUAGAAUACUUGCAUUUCAGGAUAUUAAAAAACAAAAAACAAAAACAAAACCAACACAACAAAGAGAAGAUCUAUGGUAGAGAACAAGAAGAUUUGUUCCUCCCAUUCAUCAGAGAAAGGGAUAUCACAGGAGAGAGAAAAUUGAAAAAUGAAAAAGGGAAGGGGUAAUUUGGAUGUCAGAGAAGCCAGGGUGUGGACCUCAAAAAUACUCCAUGCUAGGUGUCAGCCUUCUAUAUACACAAAGGCAACAGUAAUUAUGAAAACAAACAAUCAGACAGAAGAGUUGACUUAAUCCUUGCUCAAGCAAUAGAAAAGUACAACUCUGAAGGCAAGUACAACAUGAUUAUAAAUAAGAGCUCUGGUCUGUCAUUAAACAGCUAUUUCAGGCUGCUACGAGAAGAACACAGCAACUCAGGAAUUAACAGGACUGAAGCUGUUGCAAUCCUACCCAACUUCAAGCAGAGCCUGUGUCAUACCUGAAGGUUUUAUUUUCACCUAAUAAGACCAAUUGCUCCUUAUUCCUUGAGUGGGGAAGGCACCUCACGACAUGACUACAUGUAUCUGUGUCAUGCAAAGCACUUAGACAUGUACUCAGAGAAGCGUUUCUCUGAGUCUCAGUUUCUCAGAGGAGAAACUACCAACAUCUGCUGAAAACUGUGCUUCUGGUAGAAGUAAGGGUGAUGUGACUGAUGAUUUGCAAACACCAAGCCUUAAGAACUUAUCACUUGGUCAGCUUUUGGACUACAUGUUUACAUAUCCAGUCAAGAACU